rnacentral:miRNA from 1 species
GCUCUUCAGGGUCUCUCUCUCUCUCUCUCUCUCUCUCUCUCUCUCUCUCUCUGUGUGUGUGUGUGUGUGAGAGAGAGAGAGAGAGAGAGAGAGAGAGAGAGAGAGAAUAACCUUUUGA